ensembl:lncRNA
AAGCACUUUAUGUUUUGUAGAUGUAUUUUUUUUCAGACAGGGCACACACAGUCCUGUUUCCUUUGUGGGAAAACCUUCAAACUUCACCAUCCUCAGCUGAAACAACAACAUCUUAACACCAUCUUCAUGAACUGUUGAGCCAAACCUGAUCCAUCAGUGCUGGACUGCACAGAUAACUACAUGCCACAAGGAGACUGCUGUGUUAUGAACUGCCAUACCAGUGUGUCUUCAAUGGAGAAGAUGACACACCCAUCACCUGACCUCCUGCCUGAUCUGGAGACCAUCAUCAUGCUGCCACACUACACACCUCUGAGACCCUCAAUGAUGACUGAUACUGAGGAAACUGUAUUUCCUGUCAGAGAUGCUCAGUGAUCCUCAGAGCAGAGAGAGGUACUGCUGUCUCCUGAGUUCUUCAGUGUCCCAACUGAGACAUUCAAACCUCAUUGCAGAGCUCAUGCCUUUCCUCACCAUCAUGUGAGUGUGAGAUUGCUCUGGAUUCUGGUUAUGUGGCCUGCAGCACCUAUAAGAACAAGCUCGUACAGUGUGCCUGCAUUCCAGCUUCUUAGACUCUACGUAAGUGGACAGUAUCAGUGUUUGGCCGCUCUUACAGACACCGACUUCUGUCAACUCACUGCUACUGAUCAGGCACCUCACUUCAGGAAGACAGAGGGCUGCAAGCCUGUCAUCGUUUCCAGUGUGGCUUUGAAUUCUUGGGGUAGUAUCAGAUUUUUCCCACAAAUAUUCAAAGGUAACACUUAUUUUAAGCUUAGUUAUUAAAUCAAAAGUCUUCCCUUGUGUUAAUUUUUUUAUUAUUAUUUUAUUUUAUUUAUUUAUUUUUUCUUUUAGAUUUAUAUGCAGUGAUCGGAUGUGGUGGAGCUUUGUUAACUGUGUGUAAAACAUCUGUUUGUGAUGAUAUUUACAAUGAGGCUUUAAGGUGACAGUUUCCAUGUAAUUUCAGUCCUUUUACUAAGCAAAAACAUGUUUGCAAUUAACAUAUUUUUUCAGUUUUGUCUUUUGGAUUUAUGGUUAACAUUCCUCUGUGACAGCAAAUACUAAACUGGUCCAAGUAACCAGCAUAUCAUUGGUUAAAGGCAAAAGGACCACAUGUCACACUAGCAAUGAAUUUUUGACUGUGUUUGUGUCACCAGAUUUAACAAACAAUAUCAGACAUAUGAAACUGAACUCUGGAUUAAUGUCUAGAUGUUUUUUGUGUUUUUUUUUUUAUUGUUGAAUAAUUAUUUUGUAGGACAAACCCAAUCUAUUUACCCAAACAAUGUAACUUGUUUGGGUAAAUAGUGGAUUAAUAUAUCUAAGUCUAUAAGUAUAGCAAGCUGAAUUCAUACAAACACACAGCUCUAAAUCUUGAAUUGUA